UGCUGUGAAGCCCAUCUACAACGUUGCAGGGUCUUUGUUUCCCUCUGGCAAAAGAGUUUUUGUUUGCAGCAGGUGAGGAUGAGUUGGUGCAAACAGCAAGCAACACCAACUUUGAGGGUCUUUAUCAGAGUACCUCCCUCAGUGAUUCAUGCAAAAGAGGACAGAAGCUGAUCUCUGGAAAGGAAGUACAGAAGACUUCUGAGCUUGUGCCAGACCUCAGUGAAGUCCAAGCUGUGUAAACUCUGUUGUGCUAUCUUGGACUUCAGAAGAGUUACACGCAAUGGAAUAUUGCCCACUGAGCCUUUGCUGACUACUCUCGCAUUGCCACAAAGGAUAAAGGAUCACAGUUGUGUUUUGUGUAAGAGGGCCUGAACCCCCAACAUCUCCAAGAGUGAAGUAAUGCUCCUGAAGGCACUUGAGUACUGCUGGCAUUGGACACUUCUGGUGGAGGAAGCAGCAUGGCAGUCUUCUGCUAAUGGCUCAGCUGAAUUGCAGGAAACUGAUUCAGAGUACAAAUGUGGCACUGUGCAAGCAGCUCUUAGAUGACUACAAGUUAAAUUUUGUGUCUCUCUGGAGUAAGAAGGCAAUUUCGUUGCAGCUGAGUGUUGUGCAGACAGGGUGCCUGUAAAAAUCUUCAGUGUUAGUCACAGAAGUAAUCAUAUUAUUACUGGAACAGAGGCAGAUUGUUGAUGA